rnacentral:rRNA from 1 species
AUACGGAGACUGCAAGCGUUAUUCGGAUUCACUGGGCGUAAAGGGUGCGCAGGCGGCUAGAUGUGUCAGGUGUGAAAUCCCGGGGCUUAACUCCGGAACUGCGCCUGAAACUGUCUAGCUAGAGUCUCGGAGAGGUAAGCGGAAUUCCAGGUGUAGCGGUGAAAUGCGUAGAUAUCUGGAGGAACACCAAAGGCGAAGGCAGCUUACUGGACGACGACUGACGCUCAGGCACGAAAGCGUAGGUAGCGAAAGGGAUUAGAAACCCUAGUAGUCC